AGUGAACGCUGGCGGUAGGCCUAACACAUGCAAGUCGAACGGCAGCACAGUAAGAGCUUGCUCUUACGGGUGGCGAGUGGCGGACGGGUGAGGAAUACAUCGGAAUCUACUUUUUCGUGGGGGAUAACGUGGGGAAACUUACGCUAAUACCGCAUACGACCUACGGGUGAAAGCAGGGGAUCUUCGGACCUUGCGCGAUUGAAUGAGCCGAUGUCGGAUUAGCUAGUUGGCGGGGUAAAGGCCCACCAAGGCGACGAUCCGUAGCUGGUCUGAGAGGAUGAUCGGCCACACUGGAACUGAGACACGGUCCAGACUACUACGGGAGGCAGCAGUGGGGAAUAUUGGACAAUGGGCGCAAGCCUGAUCCAGCCAUACCGCGUGGGUGAAGGAGGCCUUCGGGUUGUAAAGCCCUUUUGUUGGGAAAGAAAAGCAGCAGGUUAAUACCCCGCUGUUCUGACGGUACCCAAAGAAUAAGCACCGGCUAACUUCGUG
rnacentral:rRNA from 1 species